rnacentral:lncRNA from 10 species
AUGGGAGCUUGGGGAGCGGGGCAAACCCCACCCUUAAAGACAACAAAACAGGUGCAGAGGCUGCGGGCGAUAGUCCUGCAGGGGAGGAGAAUGGAGGAGAAGUUUUGGUGGCGAGCGAGCAGGAACAGUGUCCAGGGUCUCUCCGCCGCCUUCCGGGCUUGCAAGCCCGCGCAGCCAGACCCUACCCAGAGGGGCGCCCCCUCGCGGGUCCCCAGCCACCACCUGCAGCUGCUGCUGUCACCUACUGUGCCACCCCCAAGUUUGAUACUCUGGGCUUUUGCACCACCCCUACCUCCCUUUCCUUCCACGAAUUUCUCCCUUUGCUCUCUCCCCCCCAGUUCCGCGAGAGAUGGCCCGGCGAAGACAGACCUCCUGGACUUAAGGCCGAGUUCACCAAAUCCGCCCCGGGGAAAGGCGAGGGCAAAGGCGGGGUGGACCGACCCAGCUGCGGCUGAGUGGCUGAGGUCCCGAGCAGGGCAGACGAGCGCAGGAGAACUCAGGAGCAGAGAUGGGGAGCUGGAUCUGCGCAGAACCCCGGAAAAGCGCCAGCAGGACUGCACCGAGAACAAAUCCUCCGCUCCCUCGCCCAGGGCUGGGGCGCAGCGCGCUGGUGCUCCUCUGGAGCUGGGCGGUCCCCGUGCUCCAAACAAGAAGCUGACUUCUGGAUCCUUCACUCUUUGAUCCUGACCCAAGCCACUCGUGCCACCAGGAGCGCAUGCCUCUGGAAUACUCGCUCCUGUCUCCUUGUGGUGAAGCCUUCCGCUGAUGCCCAGAGUCUCCCAGGCUGAAUUAGUGGGUAGGAGCAAAACAGGAUGGUGGAGACGAUCAGCAGAGCAGCAGCGUCUGUUUCCUCGGGAUUCCUCCCAGGAACACUAUUCGAAGCCAUUCCUUCUAAAAGUUUGCAGCCAGUCUCUCUUUCCUUUGUUCGUUUUUAGAGGAGGCAGUAGAGCUACCUACAUUUAAAAAACCAAAGCCUGAUACUGAUAACCUAAGUCUUUACUUAACCAUCCUGUUUGGAGGCUUUGCACACAUUACUUUUCCUCUAUGCAUUGGCAUUUCUGAAAUAAGGAUGGUUAUGCUGGUGUGCUUGGAAUUUCUCUGAAAUAUACCCCAAAUGAUUAGACUAAAAAUCAGAUUCUGCUACUUUAAAAGGAAAAAAUAUAUAUUUAUCUGUUAAAAAAAAAAAAAGGCAAUACAUGUUCUCCAAGAUGUUAAUUAAAGGCUUCUCUCAAAUGGAUUGGAUUUUCAAUUCCUUCAGGGUUUUUCCACACCCUAAUAGUAUUGCAACUGUAAGGCAUUUUUACAGUGUAAUCUGAUUAAUCUUCAGUUAAUAUAGAAUUAUGCCCACAGGAGUAUAGGAAUUGUUUAUAAAACAAAGCAGUCCAGGCUUUUCAAAUACCUAGAAACAAAGGUAAACAGAACUGGAAAUAUACAACGUGUUCUACACAGUUCCACUGAAAGUCUUUUUGUAGAUUUUUUUUUUUUUCCUUAAGAAAGUACUCUUUGCCCAAAUAUGUGUUCUAUGUGACGGGGUCCAUUCUUCUUAAUAUAUCUACACUGGUGAAGAAUGAACUAUAUACCAAUAAGGUAUAUUAUUGAAAGAGUAGAAAUGGAUUUAAACAACAACCACACAAACAAAUCAAAUAUCCAGCAAAACAGAUGAGUGUUGUCUUUCAGAGCAAUUGCUUUGGAAAAUUCAACUGAUUUCAGUGAUAUUGAUUGCACAAAACAUUUUUUAUCUUCUUUGAAAUUGCCUUUCAGAAGCAUAUUAGCAGCCAUAAACAACUAUUUGUCUCACUCCCUUAUAGAUGUGUAUUUGUCUUAGUAGAUUCAUAUAGUUCCACAGACAUCUAGUCAGCAACCUCGAAAGAGUAAAUGAUCUCUAUGAUUAAUGUCCUUUAAUAAAGUUUAGAAUUGGAUGAGAAACUGAUAAACUGAAAUUAAAGUCACUUUAUAGUGUAUCAUGUUAUCAAGGAUAGCUGUGGGAAUUAGCUUAUGACACUUUUGUGCAUCACAGUCUAAUUAAUAUCCUUAAAUGUGCAUGCAUAUCCUGUGUAUUGUAGUAACAACAAACCACUGUGAUGAAUGUCCAUAAACCCAAUUAUGACACUGACAGGAGAUUGGGAGUUUGUGGAAUUGGUGGUGAAAUAUCAAUUAAUCCAAAUUGAAAUAGGAUAAGAUUAUUGAUGCUUGAUUUCUUUUGUAUCAAAUCAUUUAGUUGCUCAGGAAAUUCCAUUUCUAACCAGAAUAUGUGCUGUGACUGCUCUUCAAAUAGAGAACAGACUCAAACUCACAUGCCUGCAUGGUUAGGGCCAAUGACAUAAAUGGACCAGCAAGCUAGGUUGUAGGAGAGUGUGGAAAAUGGUGAUUGCUAUAACACCUUGAAGAGCACAAAAGCACAUGCUAUAGCUGAAUGGGGAGAUUGCUUCUCAGAUUACACUCAGCUGGCCUGCAAAAAUCUCGAUUCAGUAUUGUCAGAUCUGAUUUUUAAGAGAAGCAAAAUCCAUAUUGUUAAAAAUCUUCUGAAUUUUAAAUAAGCAAAAUUAAUUUUUAAAAAUUCAAAACUCCUAGUGGACAGGCCAAAAUAAAUAAGAAAUAAUAGAUAGAUAGAUAGAUAGAUAGAUAGAUAGAUAGAUAGCAGCCUGACUCAUCCUGGGCCUCCAAUAUUGUAACCUGUGAUAUUAGUAUUCGAUGUUUGACAAAUCUCCUAAAAUAUUUAAAACAUACUUCUACUACCAUUUCCCCUACCCCAUUGACCAUUUCUCAAUGCACAGAAAUACAAGAGGAAUACAACCAAAGAUUAGUUGCCAAAUAAGUAAUGUUCUUUUCCAUAUCUGGUUGAAUAGAUAUUCCCAAGGAAAUUCUACAGUAAGGGAUUUGUUGAAUAACUGAACAAUCCAAAUAUUUUAGAUAGCUGGAUGAAAUUUCAGAAAAGCUCUUCAUUACAAAAGAAAAAGUUCAAUAAUAUCAGUAUUGAGGACCACUUGUGAUACAUACUUAUUAGAUAAAGAAAAUCAAGAUGUAGAUUUCCUUCAGUGUAAUUUCAUUUUAACAGCAAAGAUGCUUCCCCCAGGGUAUAAAGAAUUUCAUUGUUAUUUUGAUUAUAAAAGUUAUUUAUAAUCAUUGUAAAAAGUGAGAAUAAACAAAAACAGCAAAGAAGAAAUAGACAUUAUCUCAAACAAUGCAGUCCCACAGAACUUUCUGCAAUAAUGGAAAUGUUCUGUACCUGUGCUGUGCAGUACAGUAGCCACUGGAUAUAUGUGACUAUUGAGCACUUCACAUGUGGCUAGUGCAACGGAAGAACUGAAAUUUUAAAUUGUAUUAAAUUGUAGUUAAUUUGAAUGUAAAACUAAAUAUAGUUUACCCUCAAACAACACAGUUUGAACUGCACAGGUCCACUUAUACUCAGAUCUUUUUCAACCAAACACAAAUGGAAAAUACAGUGUUUGCGGAUGUGAAAUGGCCUUUACAGAAGGUCCAUUUUUCAUAUAUGUGGUUCUGCAGGGCCGACUGCCAGACAUGAAUAUGCCUGGGUUUUGGCAUACGCAGGGUUUCUGAAACCAAUCGUUUCACUCCCCACCCCCCACCCCAGUAUGCAGAAUGACAACUGUAGCCACAUAGGGAGCGUAAGUGGUGGACUGUAUAAAGUCUAAACUUUCAUCAUCCAGCAUGACCAUCAUCAGCAUAUUGGUGGAAAAUCUCUACUUUUAAUUAACUUUAGCCUGCUUUCUCAGCUUUUAAGCUUAAAAAUAUGUCAAAAACAUAUUUCCAUUUCCUUAAUAUAAAUAAACAUCCUUCCUUUAAUGGUUGCCUAGUCAUAAACUGUAUGAUUAUAUUCUCAUGAGUUAUUGUUGUUGUGGACAAAACCAUGAGAAAUGAUCUUGGAUAUAUUUGCAGUACCCUUGUCCAGUUAUUUCUUUCACAUAAAUGCAGCAGGGAGUAAGAGCGAGGCAUUUUACAAUUUUUUCCUUAAGCCAAGUUCACAUUACAUAAACCUUAACCACAAAGGUUAAAUUGAAUGAUGGGAAAACCAAGAAGCUUCUUCCAUGAAAAGGCAAAUACUUCAGGUAACAUGGAGUCUACAUAAAGUGUUCAGUAUAAAAUUUCAGUGACCCCAGGUGGGGAAGAUUGAAGUGGUGACUUUUUGGAUAUGGGGAAACUCAAUUAGGAAGAAUAAAAAAGCACACGAGAAUAAGUUUCUUUGGAUUCCAAGGUUUCCUUGUUUCACUCUGCCAGAAAGCUAGUUUGUUUUCUUUUUUGUUUUAUUUUAUUUUUAUUUAUUUUUUUUUUCCAACCUUAACAUCAGGGUUUCCUGAGAGAUUAUUGAAUAACUUUCAAGCCAUAUCAACCUUACUUAAACCCCAGACAGAACAAAGUAGUGAAGUUCGGCUGAAAUGUGGAAGCUGAUUCCUGAAGAAAAGAAGUAAACCCACAAAUCAGGCUACUGGCCAAAAGGAAGAAAAUUGAGGAAGGGAAGAAGAGCACAGGACCAAAGAGUGAGGACAGCCAGCUCAAAUGGAAGAAUUCUCUUAACUCCAGUAAUGUAAGAAAAGCUCAGAGAAGCUAAUAAAGUCAUGUACUUAACUUCCUAGGUUAAACAAACAAAGCCUAAUAAGUUCCUAGUUAGGAAAUAUUAAUAAUCAAACUAGGUGAACACGUAGUUAUGCUGUUUAGCAUAUUUAAAACUAAUUGUCUUGCUUUGUUUAAAUGCUCAAUACAUUAAGUGAUUAUUUUUAAGCUUAUUAAGUCC